rnacentral:rRNA from 1 species
UUUUAUGGAGAGUUUGAUCCUGGCUCAGGAUGAACGCUGGCGGCGUGCCUAAUACAUGCAAGUCGAGCGAACGGACGAGAAGCUUGCUUCUCUGAUGUUAGCGGCGGACGGGUGAGUAACACGUGGAUAACCUACCUAUAAGACUGGGAUAACUUCUGGAAACCGGAGCUAAUACCGGAUAAUAUUUUGAACCGCAUGGUUCAAAAGUGAAAGACGGUCUUGCUGUCACUUAUAGAUGGAUCCGCGCUGCAUUAGCUAGUUGGUAAGGUAACGGCUUACCAAGGCAACGAUGCAUAGCCGACCUGAGAGGGUGAUCGGCCACACUGGAACUG